AUGAUACAAGUCAUGCCAUUAUGGCGGUUUACUACAACGGGCCUUAAGUCGCUUGUGGGCCUUAAGCCCUCUAUGAACCACCAUCUUCAUGCUUUGGUCUUGGGCCUUCUCUCUGGUAAGUCUUCUUUGCGUAACCCGGCCCCUCCUGGGCGGCUUACUCAAAUAGUUAUAUCCCCAACAGGAAGAUAUCACAACACAACUCUAAACACAAAUAAAAGAAUACAAGCUUCAUAUUACAAGCCAGGGGCCUCGAGGGCUCGAAUACAAAAACUCGAGACACAAGGGUCAGCGGAAGCAACAAUAUCUGAGUACAGACAUAAGUUAAACAAGGAUGCCUUAAGAAGGCAAACACAAAAGCAACAAUGA
rnacentral:rRNA from 1 species